rnacentral:rRNA from 1 species
AAGAGUCAGCCUGCCCAGUGACAAAGUUCAACGGCCGCGGUACCCUAACCGUGCGAAGGUAGCAUAAUCACUUGUUCUUUAAAUAGGGACUAGUAUCAACGGCACCACGAGGGCUACACUGUCUCCUCCCCCUAAUCAGUGAAACUGAUCUCCCCGUGAAGAAGCGGGGAUACAACUAUAAGACGAGAAGACCCCAUGGAGCUUUAAGCUCAUCAACACCUCUGCACCCAAAUACCCUCAUAAAUCCAGAGCCCUGUUCGUUAGCUUUAGGUUGGGGUGACCGCGGAGUAUAAUAUAGCCUCCACGAUGAAUGGGGUUAAACCCCUAAUCCAAGAGCCACUGCUCUAAGAAUCAUAAAAUUGACAUAAAUGAUCCGAUUUUCGAUCAACGAACCAAGUUACCCUGGGGAUAACAGCGCAAUCCAUUUCAAGAGCCCCUAUCGACAAAUGGGUUUACGACCUCGAUGUUGGAUCAGGGUAUCCUAGUGGUGCAGCCGCUACUAAU